rnacentral:rRNA from 1 species
CGGACGGGUGAGUAACGUGUGGGCAACUUGUCCUUUACAGGGGAAUAAUCAUUGGAAACGAUGACUAAUACCGCAUGAAGUCGCUUUAAGGCAUCUUAGAGUGAAAAAGGAGAAAUCCGGUAAAGGAGAGGCCCGCAUCUGAUUAGCUAGUUGGUGAGAUAAUAGCCCACCAAGGCGACGAUCAGUAGCCGACCUGAGAGGGUGAUCGGCCACAUUGGGACUGAGACACGGCCCAA